UGGUUCUGGCAUCGAUGAAGAACGCAGCGAAAUGCGAUAAGUAAUGCGAAUUGCAGAAUUCCAGUGAGUCAUCGAAUCUUUGAACGCACAUUGCGCCCUUUGGUAUUCCGAAGGGCAUGCCUGUUCGAGCGUCAUUAUCACCCCUCAAGCCCCCGGCUUGGUGUUGGACGGUCUCGGUCGGUGGCCUCGCCCCGACCCCUCCCAAAGAUAAUGACGGCGGCCUCGUGGGACCCCCGGUACACUGAGCUUCUUCAUUGAGCACGUACUGGAUCUAGGGUCGCCGAGCCCCGGUCGACGACGCCUUCUCGGCGUCUUCUUUCUAGGUUGACCUCGGAUCAGGUAGGAAUACCCGCUGA
rnacentral:misc_RNA from 1 species